rnacentral:rRNA from 1 species
GAAUUGCAUAUUUUCAGUGAAUCAUCGAAUCUUUUGAACGCACCUUGCGCCCCUUGGUAUUCCGAGGGGCAUGCCUGUUUGAGUGUCAUU